GAGGGUAUAGCUCAGUGGUAGAGUGUGUGCUUAGCAUGCAUAAGGUCCUGAGUUCAAUCCCCAGUACCUCUG
rnacentral:tRNA from 1 species